rnacentral:rRNA from 1 species
AUUGAACGCUGGCGGCAGGCCUAACACAUGCAAGUCGAACGAGUGGCGGACGGGUGAGUAAUGUCUGGGAAACUGCCCGAUGGAGGGGGAUAACUACUGGAAACGGUAGCUAAUACCGGAUACUUAUAGAUGGAUCCGCGCUGCAUUAGCUAGUAGGUGGGGUAACGGCUCACCUAGGCGACGAUCCCUAGCUGGUCUGAGGGGAUGACCAGCAACACUGGAACUGAGACACGGUCCAGACGCCUACGGGAGGCAGCAGUGGGGAAUAUUGCACAAUGGGCGCAAGCCUGAUGCAGCCAUGCCGCGUGUAUGAAGAAGGCCUUCGGGUUGUAAAGUACUUUCAGCGAGGAGGCGUUACUCGCAGAAGAAGCACCGGCUAACUCCGUGCCAGCAGCCGCGGUAAUUC